rnacentral:pre_miRNA from 1 species
AGUGUAUGACGCCGUUGACUUUUUAUCAAAUGUUUGACUAUUCGUCUUAUUCAAAAAAUUUAUGUAAUUAUUAUUUAUUUUAUUGUGAUUUGAUUCGUCAUCAAAUGUUCUUUAAGCGUGACAUAAAUAUUUUCAUAUUUACAUAAAAUUUUUAAAUAAAACGAAUGGUCAAACAUUGAUCGAAAAGUCAACGGCUACGUAAAUU